rnacentral:rRNA from 1 species
UACGUAGGUGGCAAGCGUUAUCCGGAAUUAUUGGGCGUAAAGCGCGCGCAGGUGGUUUCUUAAGUCUGAUGUGAAAGCCCACGGCUCAACCGUGGAGGGUCAUUGGAAACUGGGGAACUUGAGUGCAGAAGAGGAAAGUGGAAUUCCAAGUGUAGCGGUGAAAUGCGUAGAGAUUUGGAGGAACACCAGUGGCGAAGGCGACUUUCUGGUCUGUAACUGACACUGAGGCGCGAAAGCGUGGGGAGCAAACAGG